AGUGAACGCUGGCGGUAGGCCUAGCACAUGCAAGUCGAACGGCAGCACAGUAAGAGCUUGCUCUUACGGGUGGCGAGUGGCGGACGGGUGAGGAAUACAUCGGAAUCUACUUUUUCGUGGGGGAUAACGUAGGGAAACUUACGCUAAUACCGCAUACGACCUACGGGUGAAAGCAGGGGAUCUUCGGACCUUGCGCGAUUGAAUGAGUCGAUGUCGGAUUAGCUAGUUGGCGGGGUAAAGGCCCACCAAGGCGACGAUCCGUAGCUGGUCUGAGAGGAUGAUCAGCCACACUGGAACUGAGACACGGUCCAGACUCCUACGGGAGGCAGCAGUGGGGAAUAUUGGACAAUGGGCGCAAGCCUGAUCCAGCCAUACCGCGUGGGUGAAGAAGGCCUUCGGGUUGUAAAGCCCUUUUGUUGGGAAAGAAAAGCAGCAGGUUAAUACCCCGCUGUUCUGACGGUACCCAAAGAAUAAGCACCGGCUAACUUCGUG
rnacentral:rRNA from 1 species